UAAAAUUAAAAAAUCUUCAAGAAAGGGAGGAGAAGUUCCUUCAUCCGUGGAAAACAAAACUCUUGUUAAACACCCGACAUCAGGAGCUGUUUUCACAUUUCCUUUGCCAACACAAGAAACAGUUUUACGGUAUCUCAUCCUCUGCCCAAGAAUGAGCAAGAACAGCUUGUACACGCACAUAUUAUAAGAACUGAUAACUGAGUCCAGCAAUGUUGCAGCAUGAAAAAUCAACGUACAACAGUCAACUGUAUUUCUAUGUAUUAGCAAUAAACCAAAAAUUAAAUGAAGAAAACAAUUUCGUUUAAAAUAGCAUCAAACAAAAUAAAAACACUUGGGAAUAAAUGUAA
rnacentral:lncRNA from 10 species